rnacentral:rRNA from 1 species
UACGUAGGGGGCAAGCGUUGUCCGGAAUCAUUGGGCGUAAAGCGCGUGUAGGCGGUCCGGUAAGUCCGCUGUGAAAGUCGGGGGCUCAACCCUCGGAUGCCGGUGGAUACUGUCGGGCUAGAGUCCGGAAGAGGCGAGUGGAAUUCCUGGUGUAGCGGUGAAAUGCGCAGAUAUCAGGAGGAACACCGAUUGCGAAGGCAGCUCGCUGGGACGUUACUGACGCUGAGACGCGAAAGCGUGGGGAGCAAACAGG